ensembl:processed_transcript 4933439C10Rik RIKEN cDNA 4933439C10 gene
AGUAUACUCACCGCUGCGCAGCGUCCCGGUUGGCGGGCCGCGUAGGCCGGGCCGCCGCGGAAAGGAAAGGCCGGAGCCCUCCGGCUCCCUCCCCUGGGACACUUCCUGCACCGCUCUAGGACCGAGGAGGUCUCCUCAUCUCAGUGGUUCGCUUCCCCGCCUCCUGGCCGAGGUGUACGCGGGGGGGUGACAUCCGACACCCCCGGCCCGCCUGGACCGCCCCGCCCCGCCCCGCUCCGUGCUCUCCCGGCCUGGGCGCGGGGCCCGGGCUUUAGCUUUGUGGGCCUUCCUAGCGGGCUCGGGAUGCGCGCGCGCCCCGGCGGGACCCGGACGCUGGGGGCCAGUUCGCGCGGCCACCAGCCAGGGAGGCCGGCCUGGGGCUUCGCUCUUCCCUGCUCCUCUUGUGUGGGUGCAGGGAAGGGCUGGUCUGGCGGCGCUGGCGAAAUGCCAGAAUUGGGAGGAGGAGGGAUGAGGUGUAAGGGGAUCUCCCAGUGACCAUUCGCAUCCCGUGUGUGCUGUUGUGCCCCAAUCCCUUCCAGCCACAAUUCCAUUUCAAAGCCAACGCUGCCAAAGCCACCCAAAUCGGUACGACUGGAGAAAUGCAGACCCGGCGAUCCACGGUGCUCGCCGAAGCAUCGGCCCGCGCCUUCGUGGCGUGGAGAUGAUCUACGAUUUUUCUGUUUAAGGAAGACUGUAGCACUCUGGGUCCCUCUGAGCACCAGGACAGUCCUGGUUCAUGGUAGGAAGUCACCCUUAAAGAAGGUGGCUUGAUAGAGACACCCCACCACCGGCAGACUUCGUGCUUCCGUUUCCUUCUAAUAAUUGGGACUGGGACGAUCACUUCCGACUAGUAGAACCUGGAAUAGGGACUAAUAGACUGGAAUCAGAGCACCUGUGUUAAAUCACGCCCAUCAAGGCGCAGUCAGGUGAUCUAAGGCCUGCGUGACCGACCUCUCUGUGCUUCAGGGAUCACAUUUGGAUGCAUGUGCGAGCUGUGCUGUAGCCAGCUCAGGUCCUGAAUCUUUAGGACUUGCUGGAGCUCAUUGCUGGUCUAUUUUGGCAGAUACGGGAUACUCAAAGCGUUUAUGGUUCUCCUUGCUGUAUACAAUUGGUUCUAUUCUUUUGUAUGACUCCAAGAGGUUAAGUUACGUGUUCCUCUGAUGUUUGUGAUCCUGUGCGUCUAGCUGCUUACGUAGUAUCACUGAUCUUACCUGAGCUCUCAUACUCAUUCUCUCUCACUCCUCUUCCCUCAUUCAGGUCCUCUUUCUUCCCUCCAGCCUCCUUUAGAACUCAUUAUCUUUUAGAGUAAUACCACCCUUAACCAGCAGUUUAACUCUCCACUCCCUCAAAGGGGACUCACUUGUCUCACUAAUGCUUAUACAUGUGUUACUGUAAUAAAGUAAGUUUUUCAAAUGU